UGGAAAACUGGAAAAGCGCCCCACGCCGAACCCUAGGUAUCGCGAGACUCGACAGGCCCGCCUCUGCGUAGCCUGCCGGAAGCGGAAGUCAGGGGGUUGUCGGAUUCUGACAGUAGUGGCCCCGUUACCUUGGAGAGGUGGGGUGGCGUGGCGUGGCGUUGGAGCGGCGCGUUGGGAGCCAGAGAUCUAGACAACUUAACCCUGAAGCAGUACAGCUUCAAAUCCCCGCG